rnacentral:rRNA from 1 species
CCUACGGGAGGCAGCAGUGGGGAAUAUUGGGCAAUGGGCGCAAGCCUGACCCAGCAAAGCCGCGUGAAGGAAGAAUGCUUUAGGGUUGUAAAAUUCCUUUUAGGGGGAAGUGCAGCAGCCGAUAUCCCCUGAAUAAGCUACGGCUAACUAAGUGCCAGCAGCCGCGGUAAUACGUAGGUCGCAAGCGUUGUCCGGAUUUACUGGGUGUAAAGGGCGUGCAGCCGGAGAGACAAGUCAGAUGUGAAAUCCACGGGCUCAACCCGUGAACUGCAUUUGACACUGUUUCCCUUGAGUGUAGGAGAGGUAAUCGGAAGUCGUGGUGUAGCGGUGAAAUGCUGAGAUAGAAGGAAGAACACCAGUGGCGAAGGCGGAUUACUGGACUAUAACUGACAGUGAUGCGCGAAAGCGUGGGGAGCAAACAGGAUUAGAUACCCGUGUAGUC